GAUGAAGAACGUAGCGAAAUGCGAUAAGUAAUGUGAAUUGCAGAAUUCAGUGAAUCAUCGAAUCUUUGAACGCACCUUGCACUCCUUGGUAUUCCGAGGAGUACGCCUGUUCGAGUGUUAUGAAGCUCUCAAAACGCAAUUGGCUUAAAACCUGAUUGUUGUUUUGGAUUUGAACUUUGCCGUGUUAUAACGGCUGGUUUUAAAAGUAUUAGCUGGUACUAGAACGAAUUGGUUCUACUCAACGUGAUAAUUAUCUGAUCGUUGAGGACAUUCCUUUCACGAGGAAUGGCCAUAGUAAAUUCAAUGGACUGCUUCUAAUCUGGCUUUAAUUCUUUAUUGGAUUAACCACUUUUCAAAUCUGACCUCGAAUCAGGUGGGACUACCCGCUGUACUUAAGCAUAUCAAUAAGCGGAGGA
rnacentral:misc_RNA from 1 species